AUUGAACGCUGGCGGCAGGCCUAACACAUGCAAGUCGAACGAGUGGCGGACGGGUGAGUAAUGUCUGGGAAACUGCCCGAUGGAGGGGGAUAAAUACUGGAAACGGUAGCUAAUACCGCAUACCAUCGGAUGUGCCCAGUUGGGCUUAGCUAGUAGGUGGGGUAACGGCUCACCUAGGCGACGAUCCCUAGGUGGUCUGAGAGGAUGACCAGCCAAACGGGAACUGAGACACGGUCCAGACUCCUACGGGAGGCAGCAGUGGGGAAUAUUGCACAAUGGGCGAAAGCCUGAUGCAGCCAUGCCGCGUGUAUGAAGAAGGCCUUCGGGUUGUAAAGUACUGUCAGCGAGGAGGCGUUACUCGCAGAGGAAGCACCGGCUAACUACGUGCCAGCAGCCGCGGUAAUAC
rnacentral:rRNA from 1 species